UACGUAGGGGGCAAGCGUUGUCCGGAAUCAUUGGGCGUAAAGCGCGCGUAGGCGGCCCGGUAAGUCCGCUGUAAAAGUCCAGGGCUCAACCCUGGGAAGCCGGUGGAUACUGUCGGGCUAGAGUCCGGAAGAGGCGAGUGGAAUUCCUGGUGUAGCGGUGGAAUGCGCAGAUAUCAGGAGGAACACCGAUGGCGAAGGCAGCUCGCUGGGACGGUACUGACGCUGAGGCGCGAAAGCGUGGGGAGCGAACAGG
rnacentral:rRNA from 1 species